AGGACGAACGCUGGCGGCGUGCUUAACACAUGCAAGUCGAGCGGUAAGGCCUUUCGGGGUACACGAGCGGCGAACGGGUGAGUAACACGUGGGUGAUCUGCCCUGCACUUCGGGAUAAGCCUGGGAAACUGGGUCUAAUACCGGAUAUGACCUCCUAUCGCAUGGUGGGUGGUGGAAAGAUUUAUCGGUGCAGGAUGGGCCCGCGGCCUAUCAGCUUGUUGGUGGGGUAAUGGCCUACCAAGGCGACGACGGGUAGCCGACCUGAGAGGGUGACCGGCCACACUGGGACUGAGACACGGCCCAGACUCCUACGGGAGGCAGCAGUGGGGAAUAUUGCACAAUGGGCGAAAGCCUGAUGCAGCGACGCCGCGUGAGGAUGACGGCCUUCGGGUUGUAAACCUCUUUCAGCAGGACGAAGCGCAAGUGGACGUACCUGACAGAAAGAAGCACCGGCUAACGUACGUGCCAGCAACGCCGAC
rnacentral:rRNA from 1 species